rnacentral:rRNA from 1 species
UACGUAGGGUGCAAGCGUUACUCGGAAUUACUGGGCGUAAAGCGUGCGCAGGCGGCUUUGCAAGUCAGAUGUGAAAUCCCCGGGCUUAACCUGGGAACUGCAUUUGUGACUGCAUGGCUGGAGUGCGGCAGAGGGGGAUGGAAUUCCGCGUGUAGCAGUGAAAUGCGUAGAUAUGCGGAGGAACACCGGUGGCGAAGGCGGCAUCCUGGACCGGCAUUGACGCUGAGGCGCGAAAGCCAGGGGAGCAAACGGG